AUUGAACGCUGGCGGCAUGCCUUACACAUGCAAGUCGAACGGCAGCACGGGAGCGAUCCUGGUGGCGAGUGGCGAACGGGUGAGUAAUAUAUCGGAACGUGCCCAGUCGUGGGGGAUAACGUAGCGAAAGCUACGCUAAUACCGCAUACGAUCUAUGGAUGAAAGCGGGGGAUCGCAAGACCUCGCGCGAUUGGAGCGGCCGAUAUCAGAUUAGGUAGUUGGUGGGGUAAAGGCUCACCAAGCCGACGAUCUGUAGCUGGUCUGAGAGGACGACCAGCCGCACUGGGACUGAGACACGGCCCAGACUCCUACGGGAGGCAGCAGUGGGGAAUUUUGGACAAUGGGCGCAAGCCUGAUCCAGCAAUGCCGCGUGCAGGAUGAAGGCCUUCGGGUUGUAAACUGCUUUUGUACGGAGCGAAAAGGCUUCCACUAAUACUGGGGGCUCAUGACGGUACCGUAAGAAUAAGCACCGGCUAACUACGUGCCAGCCGCCGCCGUAAAAC
rnacentral:rRNA from 1 species